rnacentral:rRNA from 1 species
GAGAGUUAAAUAGUACGUGAAAUUGUUGAAAGGGAAACGAUUGAAGUCAGUCAUGCCGGUGAGAAUCAACUUUGGGGAAGGGGGAUUUUUUUGAACCUAACCUUGAAGUGCACUUCUUCGCUUGGCAGGUUAGCGUCGAUUUUGAACGUCAUAAAAUGAUUGGGGGAAGGUAGCUCUUUCGGGAGUGUUAUAGCCCUUAAUUAAUGUGAUAUUUGGGAUCGAGGAUUGCAACGGAUACCUUUUUAGGCUAGCCGCCUGGCCUCUGAUUCGAUGUCGGGUUAUAGACAGCACGCUGACUAUGAUCUGAUUAUUGGUCAAAAGGUUAGAGCGAGCAUAAAUUCGUUAAGGACGCUGACGUAAUGGCUUUAAACGA